UGGGGGAUAUUGCACAAUGGAGGAAACUCUGAUGCAGCAACGCCGCGUGAGGGAAGAAGGUUUUCGGAUUGUAAACCUCUGUCCUCGGUGAAGAAAAAAAUGACGGUAGCCGAGGAGGAAGCUCCGACUAACUACGUGCCAGCAGUCGCGGUAAUACGUAGGGAGCAAGCGUUGUCCGGAUUUACUGGGUGUAAAGGGUGCGUAGGCGGCAAAUAAAGUCAGGCGUGAAAUGCAGAGGCUUAACCUCUGACCUGCGUUUGAAACUUAUUUGCUUGAGUGAAGUAGAGGCAGGCGGAAUUCCCGGUGUAGCGGUGAAAUGCGUAGAGAUCGGGAGGAACACCAGUGGCGAAGGCGGCCUGCUGGGCUUUAACUGACGCUGAGGCACGAAAGCAUGGGGAGCAAACAGG
rnacentral:rRNA from 2 species